UACGUAGGGGCAAGCGUUGUCCGGAAUCAUUGGGCGUAAAGAGCGUGUAGGCGGCCCGGUCAGUCUGGUGUGAAAUCUUGAGGCUCAACCUCAAGCUGUCAUCGGAUACUGCCGGGCUAGAAUCCGGAAGAGGAGAGUGGAAUUCCUGGUGUAGCGGUGGAAUGCGCAGAUAUCAGGAGGAACAUCCGUGGCGAAGGCGGCUCCUCUGGUACGGUAUUGACGCUGAGACGCGAAAGCGUGGGAGC
rnacentral:rRNA from 1 species